rnacentral:rRNA from 1 species
UACGAAGGGACCGAGCGUUGUCCGGAAUCAUUGGGCGUAAAGAGCGUGUAGGCGGCUUGUUAAGUCUUGCGUGAAAUCUCGGGGCUCAACCCCGAGCGGUCGUGAGAAACUGGCAGGCUAGAGUGCGGGAGAGGAGAGUGGAAUUCCUGGUGUAGCGGUGAAAUGCGCAGAUAUCAGGAAGAACACCCGUGGCGAAGGCGGCUCUCUGGAACGCAACUGACGCUGAGGCGCGAAAGCGUGGGGAGCAAACAGG